UGCAUGUGGGGCACCCUGAUCAGCAUGCCGCGUGUGUGAAGAAGGCCUUCGGGUUGUAAAGCACUUUUGUAAGGAAAGAAAUGGCCUGGGCUAAUACCCCGGGUCGAUGACGGAACCGGAAGAAUAAGCACCGGCUAACUACGUGCCAGCAGCCGCGGUAAUACGUAGGGUGCGAGCGUUAAUCGGAAUUACUGGGCGUAAAGCGUGCGCAGGCGGUUUGAUAAGACAGGCGUGAAAUCCCCGGGCUCAACCUGGGAAUGGCGCUUGUGACUGUCAGGCUAGAGUGCGUCAGAGGGGGGUAGAAUUCCACGUGUAGCAGUGAAAUGCGUAGAGAUGUGGAGGAAUACCGAUGGCGAAGGCAGCCCCCUGGGACGUGACUGACGCUCAUGCACGAAAGCGUGGGGAGCAAACAGGAUUAGAUUUCCUGGUAGUCCACGCCCUAAACGAUGUCAACUAGUUGGUGGGGAUUCAUUUCUUCAGUAACGUAGCUAACGCGUGAAGUUGACCGCCUGGGGAGUACGGUCGCAAGAUUAAAACUCAAAGGAAUUGACGGCGGGCGGGGGCGGGCGGGA
rnacentral:rRNA from 1 species